ACGAACGCUGGCGGCGUGCUUAACACAUGCAAGUCGAACGCUGAAGCUUGGUGCUUGCACUGGGUGGAUGAGUGGCGAACGGGUGAGUAAUACGUGAGUAGCCUGCCCUUGACUCUGGGAUAAGCCUGGGAAACUGGGUAUAAUACUGGAUACGACAUGUCACCGCAUGGUGGUGUGUGGAAAGGGUUUUACUGGUUUUGGAUGGGCUCACGGCCUAUCAGCUUGUUGGUGGGGUAAUGGCUCACCAAGGCGACGACGGGUAGCCGGCCUGAGAGGGUGACCGGCCACACUGGGACUGAGACACGGCCCAGACUCCUACGGGAGGCAGCAGUGGGGAAUAUUGCACAAUGGGCGGAAGCCUGAUGCAGCGACGCCGCGUGAGGGAUGACGGCCUUCGGGUUGUAAACCUCUUUCAGCACGGAAGAAGCGAAAGUGACGGUACGUGCAGAAGAAGCGCCGGCUAACUACGUG
rnacentral:rRNA from 1 species